GACGAACCGAGCGAACGUUGUUCGGAAUCACUGGGCUUAAAGGGCGCGUAGGCGGGUGCUCAAGUCCGUGGUGAAAUCCUCCGGCUCAACCGGAGAACUGCCUCGGAUACUGGGUGCCCUCGAGGGUGGUAGGGGUAUGCGGAACUAUCGGUGGAGCGGUGAAAUGCGUUGAUAUCGAUAGGAACUCCGGUGGCGAAAGCGGCGUGCUGGACACCUUCUGACGCUGAGGCGCGAAAGCCAGGGGAGCGAACGGG
rnacentral:rRNA from 1 species